rnacentral:lncRNA from 10 species
GUCACCUGACAGACACAGGAUGCUCAGUUGUCUCAGGAAUUGAUGGUGAGAGGGACCACAGAGAUAAGGGGUGCAGUCCCCUCCCCUUUGACCAAUGGCAGAGCCCCCAGCCUUUCUGGGGAGACACUUUGCAUCCUCCUAUUUUUGGCAAAAGUCUCAGGAGAGUUAAGGCACCAAUUGGUGUCUGCAGGUUCACACGCUAAACUCUGCUUCUGUCUCUCUCAGGGGGAAUUGCUGCUGCCUUGGGAAGGCCCCCAGGUGUGGGAGUGGCAGAGCUGGUGGUGACCCUGGCCCAGGUCAUCUGAAGCUACCCUUGUCCUGUGCUCCACAGCUAAAACAACCCUCAGUCCUCUCUGUCCUAUGACAAACAAGACACCGGUGAAGGGGUAAGGCCAGCAGCAUCAUCCCCAAGCUACAAAGGAGGAGACUGAGGCUCAGGAGGUGAAAGGAAUAAAUGACAGAGCCAGGGCCAAAACUCAGGAUUCCUAGCUCUUGGUCCAGGGCUCUUCCCCGCCCAGGCUGCAUGGGAGGUGGUGGGAGGUGAAUGUGCCAGCCUGUGAGGGCUGCGGCCCACUAGGCCCAGCUUGGAGGAGAGUGUCUCUCUUGGGCCUGUAACAUCUUGCUAAAUGGAGGAGAAGGGAGGGAAGGCCAAUGUGACCUGCCUUCCGCAUCUCCCACCUUCGCCCUCCCUCCUCAGGGUCCUAGGUCAGAUGGCUUCCCACAGAACCCAAGGCUUCUCUGCUAAACUGGCACUGGCUCAAUAGCUCCCUUCCUUCUUGUCCUCAUUCUCAUCCCUCCCAGGAGGGCACCGUGGACACUCCCUCCUUCAAACCAUGUGUGCGCGCACACACACACACACACACAUACACACACACACACACACACACACUUCACCCAACGUUAGCCUACAGAACUAAAUGCAGGGUUUCCCAUCCCAGUGUGUGACGGGCUCUGGGGUGACAGAAGCAGGAGAGGUUCUAGUGGAAACUUAGGGAAAAGACCAUCUUAUGAGGGCUCUGGAGGAGGGGUGUCCUGGCCAGCUGUCCUUGGGAGGGAUGUCACCUGGACGUGAAGAGGCACCAGCAAAGGGGGCCUGACCUCCUUCCCCCAGACCAUCUGGGCAGCUUUUGGGAGUGGCUAGGGACACCUGGGUCUCCCAGAACAGGGGUUUCCUGACUUGUGCAUUCUCUUUGAAGAUGAAGAUGGGCAGGCAGGGAUGGCCGGCAGUCCAUAGGAAUGCGGCUGUAACAGUGUCUGCUGCUGCUGUUGAUCACUGCUGGGCUGGGUCCAGCCAGGGCCACAUCCUUGGAGGCCUGAUACUCCACGCAGAUGGUGGUGCAGCCACCUGUCAGCUGUCAGGGCCUGGAGGCAUCUUUCAGCAACCUGAAGACUUUGCACCAUGUGAUGACAUGUGUUAAUGAGACGUGGGCCCUGCAAGGUGGCUCACGCCUGUAAUCCCAGCACUUUAGGAGGCCAACGCUGGAAAGUUGCUUGAUCCCAGGAGUUUGAGACCAGACUUGGCAACAUAGUGAGACCCUAUCUCUACUAAAAAUUAAAUAAACAAACAAAAAAAACUAGCCAGAUGUGGUAAUGUGCGCCUGUAGUCCUAGCUAAUUGGGAGGCUGAGGCGGAAAGAUUGCUGAAGCCCAGGUAUUCAAGGUUGCAGUGAGCUAUGAUCGUGCCACUGCACUCCAGCCUGGGUUAGACCCUGUCUCUAAAAGAAGAGAGAGAGAGACACGAGUAGUGCUCUAGAACCCCCAACCGUGGAGCCAUGCUCUCCCAGCCCCUGGAACCACCUGCCUGAGUCCCAUGCAGACCUGACUCUG